rnacentral:misc_RNA from 1 species
AGUAAUACUAUAUUUCAUGAGACGCCCAGCUGAGACAGUUCCUUCUGUACGUGACAUUGAGAGUUCAUCUCCAGAAUCAGAUAUCUAUUUUCAUCCUAGGGAGGGAUUCACUUUACAAGAUCUGGUUGAGGCCACAAACAAUUUUCAUGAUAGUUAUGUUGUAGGAAGAGGAGCUUGUGGAACAGUCUACAAGGCAGUUGUGCAUACCGGACAAACCAUUGCAGUGAAAAGACUAGCAUCUAACAAAGAGGGGAGCAACAUAGAGAACAGUUUUCAGGCUGAGAUUUUGACUCUUGGAAAGAUCAGGCACCGGAACAUUGUGAA